GACGAACGCUGGCGGCGUGCUUAACACAUGCAAGUCGAACGGUAAGGCUCCAGCUUGCUGGGGUACACGAGUGGCGAACGGGUGAGUAACACGUGGGUGACCUGCCCUGCACUUCGGGAUAAGCCUGGGAAACUGGGUCUAAUACCGGAUAGGACCGCACCGUGAGGGUGUGGUGGAAAGUUUUUUCGGUGUGGGAUGGGCCCGCGGCCUAUCAGCUUGUUGGUGGGGUAAUGGCCUACCAAGGCGGCGACGGGUGGCCGGCCUGAGAGGGUGGACGGCCACAUUGGGACUGAGACACGGCCCAGACUCCUACGGGAGGCAGCAGUGGGGAAUAUUGCACAAUGGGCGGAAGCCUGAUGCAGCGACGCCGCGUGGGGGAUGACGGCCUUCGGGUUGUAAACUCCUUUCACCAUCGACGAAGGGUUUCUGACGGUAGAUGGAGAAGAAGCACCGGCUAACUACGUGCCAGCAGCCGCGGUAAUACGUAGGGUGCGAGCGUUGUCCGGAAUUACUGGGCGUAAAGAGCUCGUAGGUGGUUUGUCGCGUCGUCUGUGAAAUUCCGGGGCUUAACUCCGGGCGUGCAGGCGAUACGGGCAUAACUUGAGUACUGUAGGGGAGACUGGAAUUCCUGGUGUAGCGGUGAAAUGCGCAGAUAUCAGGAGGAACACCGGUGGCGAAGGCGGGUCUCUGGGCAGUAACUGACGCUGAGGAGCGAAAGCAUGGGGAGCGAACAGG
rnacentral:rRNA from 1 species